rnacentral:rRNA from 1 species
ACUCCUACGGGAGGCAGCAGUGGGGAAUAUUGCACAAUGGGCGCAAGCCUGAUGCAGCAACGCCGCGUGAGGGACGACGGCCUUCGGGUUGUAAACCUCUUUUAGUAGGGAAGAAGCGAAAGUGACGGUACCUGCAGAAAAAGCACCGGCUAACUACGUGCCAGCAGCCGCGGUAAUACGUAGGGUGCAAGCGUUAUCCGGAAUUAUUGGGCGUAAAGAGCUCGUAGGCGGUUUGUCGCGUCUGCUGUGAAAACUGGAGGCUCAACCUCCAGCCUGCAGUGGGUACGGGCAGACUAGAGUGCGGUAGGGGAGAUUGGAAUUCCUGGUGUAGCGGUGGAAUGCGCAGAUAUCAGGAGGAACACCGAUGGCGAAGGCAGAUCUCUGGGCCGUAACUGACGCUGAGGAGCGAAAGCAUGGGGAGCGAACAGGAUUAGAUACCCUGGUAGUCCAUGCCGUAAACGUUGGGAACUAGAUGUAGGGACCAUUCCACGGUUUCUGUGUCGCAGCUAACGCAUUAAGUUCCCCGCCUGGGGAGUACGGCCGCAAGGCUAAAACUCAAAGGAAUUGACGGGGGCCCGCACAAGCGGCGGAGCAUGCGGAUUAAUUCGAUGCAACGCGAAGAACCUUACCAAGGCUUGACAUAUACCGGAAAAGUUCAGAAAUGUUCUCCCCGCAAGGUCGGUAUACAGGUGGUGCAUGGUUGUCGUCAGCUCGUGUCGUGAGAUGUUGGGUUAAGUCCCGCAACGAGCGCAACCCUCGUUCUAUGUUGCCAGCACGUAAUGGUGGGAACUCAUAGGAGACUGCCGGGGUCAACUCG